rnacentral:rRNA from 1 species
UACGGGGGGGGGUAAGCGUUGUUCGGAAUUACUGGGCGUAAAGGGCUCGUAGGCGGCCAACUAAGUCAGACGUGAAAUCCCUCAGCUUAACUGGGGAACUGCGUCUGAUACUGGAUGGCUUGGAUCCGGGAGAGGGAUGCGGAAUUCCAGGUGUAGCGGUGAAAUGCGUAGAUAUCUGGAGGAACACCGGUGGCGAAGGCGGCCCGCUGGGCAGAGACUGACGCUGAGGCGCGACAGCGUGGGGAGCAAACAGG